rnacentral:rRNA from 1 species
AGAGUUUGAUUAUGGCUCAGAACGUACGCCGGCGGCACGCCUAACACAUGCAAGUCGAACGAAGUAGCAAUACUUAGUGGCAGACGGGUGAGUAACAUGUGGGUAUCUACCCUUUGGCCUGGAAUAACACGAGGAAACUUGUGCUAAUACCGGAUAAGUCUUUACGGAGAAAGCUUUAUGCACCAUUGGAUGAGCCUGCACUUGAUUAGUUAGUUGGUAGGGUAAUGGCCUACCAAGACUUUGAUCAAUAGCUGAUUUGAGAGGAUGAUCAGCCACAUUGGGACUGAGACACGGCCCAAACUCCUACGGGAGGCAGCAGUGGGGAAUCUUGCACAAUGGAGGAAACUCUGAUGCAGCGAUGCCGCGUGAGUGAAGAAGGCCUUUGGGUUGUAAAGCUCUUUCGUCGGGGAAGAAAAUGACUGUACCCGAAUAAGAAGGUCCGGCUAACUUCGUGCCAGCCGCCGCGGUAAUAC